AUAAAAAAUUAAAGAAGAAAACUGUUUCAGAAAAAAAUAUAUAAAAGGAGAUGUAUUAUAUGAGAAAGAGGAUGUAUAUAUUUCCUAACGUUCGUUUCUAUCAGAUUAACUUUCUCGAUUUAACUUAUUUCUUAUCUUUUUUAGGUCUGAGAAUUAGAAAAAGAUAAAGAAUAGAUGAAACCGAGAUCCGAGAUUAAGAUCUGACUUAAAAGUAAAUCAAAUCAAGAUUAAGAUUUCUAUAUUGGCAGAAGUGGACAAGACACUUUAGGGCAAUACGAAGUAAAGUAAGGAGCAGAAUGCAUUCAACGGAUACAUCCACAUUAUGCUGGUGCCCUUACCAUGUUUAACCUAAAAUUAAUCUAACAGGGAAGAUUUAACGAAGAAUCCGCCCGUCGUCAGCAUUCUCCAAAUGCAAAUGUCAUUUAGGACGUUAAACGCAACCAUCGUCGACACGACUCGCGAAUGAAUUCGACGUUGUCUGGCAUAUUGAUGAACGCGAGCGAUUGUGAUUCUCUUCCGCUCUCUUUCUUUUAUUUUUUACAUUUCGCGAAAACCAAAGUGGAAUCUCCGAAGAGAAGAAUGGCCACGCUAAGUCUAAUUUCCGCAACCAUUCAAUUUCUUGCGCACUAGCGCCAGCUGAGAAAUGUGUAGAUGUGAACUAUGUAUGGUCAAAUUCUCAUGAUUCUCAAUAAUUCUCAGAUCAUCAAAA